ACAGGCGUGGGCCGGUAGGAAGGGUGUUCGACUCCCAGCCGAAAGGUUCUGGGUUCGACCCCCGAUGUCUGCA